rnacentral:lncRNA from 1 species
AUGCCAGCUGGGGCACGCGAGGUGUACCCUUACGACGCCCUCAUCGUCACAAACCAGAUCCGCGUGAAGCUGCCCAAGGAUGUGGACCGGACGAGGCUGGAGGUACCGGGGGCCCCGGGGUGCUCUGGCCGUGUCACGGGGCAGGCGUGUGCGAUGAUGUCGAGUGCUGGGAGCCGUCUGUUCCCGGGGGGCCCCGGGGUGCUCUGGCCGUGUCACAGGGCAAGCGUGUGUGACGGUGCCGAGCGCCGGGAGCCGUCUGUUCCCCGGCUGCAGAUGUCCCGGCUCCCAGGGUCUGCAGUGGGAAAGCGUCUGUGGUCGCGGAGCAUGAUGGCCCAUUUGCCGGAGUCCAGGGAGGUUGAUACAGAGGGGUGCAGACGGGUAGAACUGCGUGAGCACCUACUGUGUGCACCGAGCACCAAGGGCCGUGCUUGAGUGUGUGAGCAACUACUGUGUGCACCGAGAGCUGAGGGCCGUGCGUGAAUGUGCGAGCACCUACUGUGCGCACUGAGAACUGAGGGCCAUGCGUGAGUGUGUGAGCGCCUACUGUGUGCGUACCAUGUGCAGGACUUUGAUGAAUUCUCGCGACCCUCACAGGGAACACAGCACCCAGCCCCGGGGAGUUCACGUCCGGGCCCUUCCUUCAGUGUCUCGGGCCUGCUCCUGACUUGUGGGGGCGAGGGGCCUCGGGCUCCCAAAGGGCAGGGCCCUCGGCUGAGAGUACGCGAGGCCGUGUGCACCGGGCCAGCUGCCAGCCCCGCGGGCUCGGGGACGGGCGGGGCGCGUGAGCAGCAGGGCUGGGGCUGGGGUCCCGUCUGUGCAGGGGAGGCUCUGGACGGACAGAGGGAGAGCGUGGGAGUGUGUCCAGGCCCGGGGAGGCUGCACAGUGCCCCUGAGCCUCUGCAGUGAGGACUCCCAAGGGAGUCACCCUGCGCUCAGCACAGGGGCGGCGGGGGAGGGGGAGGCGUCCCUGGGCAGGAGGCGCGCCCACCCGACCCUCUGUAUUGCAAACAGCAGGAGCCUGGCACGAAGUGACCACAGCCAAGAGGGGACCGCCCGACUCCCGGGACCCGAGGGCCCCCCAGCCCGAGGCAGCUGGAGCAGGGGCCACACUGGGUCAGGCCCCGGGGCCUCCCAGUGUCUCUGCCCUGUGCCUCCUUGGCUGAGUUGUGGCUGCCUUUGUCCACUCCUGGACUCAGAACUCAUGGGGAGUCAACCCUCUCCCCUAACCUCUCCCUCUCCC